CCUACGGGUGGCAGCAGUAGGGAAUCUUCCACAAUGGGCGAAAGCCUGAUGCAGCAACGCCGCGUGGGUGAAGAAGGUCUUCGGAUCGUAAAACCCUGUUGUCAGAGAAGAAAGUGCGUGUGAGUAACUGUUCACGUUUCGACGGUAUCUAACCAGAAAGCCACGGCUAACUACGUGCCAGCAGCCUCGGUAAUACGUAGGUGGCAAGCGUUAUCCGGAUUUAUUGGGCGUAAAGGGAACGCAGGCGGUCUUUUAAGUCUGAUGUGAAAGCCUUCGGCUUAACCGGAGUAGUGCAUUGGAAACUGGGCGACUUGAGUGCAGAAGAGGAGAGUGGAACUCCGAGUGUAGCGGUGAAAUGCGUAGAUAUUAGGAGGAACACCAGUGGCGAAGGCGGCUUACUGGACUGUAACUGACGUUGAGGCUCGAAAGCGUGGGGAGCAAACAGGAUUAGAUACCCCGGUAGUC
rnacentral:rRNA from 1 species